GCUCAACCUGGGAACUGCAUUUGAAACUGGCAAGCUAGAGUCUCGUAGAGGGGGGUAGAAUUCCAGGUGUAGCGGUGAAAUGCGUAGAGAUCUGGAGGAAUACCGGUGGCGAAGGCGGCCCCCUGGACGAAGACUGACGCUCAGGUGCGAAAGCGUGGGGAGCAAACAGGAUUAGAUACCCUGGUAGUCCACGCUGUAAACGAUGUCGAUUUGGAGGUUGUGCCCUUGAGGCGUGGCUUCCGGAGCUAACGCGUUAAAUCGACCGCCUGGGGAGUACGGCCGCAAGGUUAAAACUCAAAUGAAUUGACGGGGGCCCGCACAAGCGGUGGAGCAUGUGGUUUAAUUCGAUGCAACGCGAAGAACCUUACCUACUCUUGACAUCCAGAGAACUUAGCAGAGAUGCUUUGGUGCCUUCGGGAACUCUGAGACAGGUGCUGCAUGGCUGUCGUCAGCUCGUGUUGCGAAAUGUUGGGUUAAGUCCCGCAACGAGCGCAACCCUUAUCCUUUGUUGCCAGCGGUUCGGCCGGGAACUCACAGGAGACUGCCAGUGAUAAACUGGAGGAAGGUGGGGAUGACGUCUAGUCAUCAUGGCCCUUACGAGUAGGGCUACACACGUGCUACAAUGGCGUAUACAAAG
rnacentral:rRNA from 1 species